UCAGGAUGAACGCUAGCGGCAGGCUUAAUACAUGCAAGUCGUGGGGCAGCAUGAGUAGCAAUACUUGAUGGCGACCGGCAAACGGGUGAGGAACACGUACACAACCUUCCUUCAAGCGGGGAAUAGCCCAGAGAAAUUUGGAUUAAUACCCCAUAAUAUAUUUGAUAAGGCAUCUUAUUAAUAUUAAAGCUUCGGCACUUGAUGAUGGGUGUGCGGCUGAUUAGAUAGUUGGCGGGGUAACGGCCCACCAAGUCUACGAUCAGUAGCUGAUGUGAGAGCAUGAUCAGCCACACGGGCACUGAGACACGGGCCCGACUCCUACGGGAGGCAGCAGUAAGGAAUAUUGGACAAUGGACGAAAGUCUGAUCCAGCCAUGCCGCGUGAAGGAUUAAGGUCCUCUGGAUUGUAAACUUCUUUUAUAUGGGACGAAAAAAGGGCAUUCUUGUUCACUUGACGGUACCAUAUGAAUAAGCACCGGCUAACUCCGUG
rnacentral:rRNA from 1 species